CUUCUGCCUCCUGACCAAAGGCGGUGCCCCACAUGGCUCUGCAUGGCGUGGCGUGCUCCUCCUCUCAGGAACUGCAGGCACGGCCUUGGCUCUCCCACAAGGGCCCGUGACAAGACGGCAGAAGGAUGGAGAGCGGCAGCUUCUCCCUGCGGACCCUCUUCCUUCUUCACCAGAGCAGCGCGAGGCUGUUACGCGGACACGUCCUUACAUUUCUGAUCAUUUAGAUUGUGAAGACACUUUACCCAGC